rnacentral:tRNA from 1 species
GCCGUGCGUGAUGGCGAGCCCAAACGACCCGUCCGCUCGCUUCCCAAGCUGGACACGCGGGUUCGAUUCCCGUCAUCGGCU